CCUACGGGAGGCAGCAGUGGGGAAUCUUGCGCAAUGGGCGAAAGCCUGACGCAGCCAUGCCGCGUGAAUGAUGAAGGUCUUAGGAUUGUAAAAUUCUUUCACCGGGGACGAUAAUGACGGUACCCGGAGAAGAAGCCCCGGCUAACUUCGUGCCAGCAGCCGCGGUAAUACGAAGGGGGCUAGCGUUGCUCGGAAUUACUGGGCGUAAAGGGAGCGUAGGCGGAUAGUUUAGUCAGAGGUGAAAGCCCAGGGCUCAACCUUGGAAUUGCCUUUGAUACUGGCUAUCUUGAGUAUGGGAGAGGUUAGCGGAACUCCGAGUGUAGAGGUGAAAUUCGUAGAUAUUCGGAAGAACACCAGUGGCGAAGGCGGCUAACUGGCCCAUUACUGACGCUGAGGCUCGAAAGCGUGGGGAGCAAACAGGAUUAGAUACCCUGGUAGUCCACGCCGUAAACGAUGAGUGCUAGUUGUCGGCAUGCAUGCAUGUCGGUGACGCAGCUACGACAUAAGUACACUCCGCCGUCGGGAGGUACGGUCGCGAGAAGUAAACUACAAAGAAGUAGACGGCGUGAGAGUGCCGACGGACGACGACGAGGGAGGAGG
rnacentral:rRNA from 1 species